GACGAACGCUGGCGGCGUGCUUAACACAUGCAAGUCGAACGGAAAGGCCCUGCUUUUGUGGGGUGCUCGAGUGGCGAACGGGUGAGUAACACGUGUGUAACCUGCCCUUGACUUUGGGAUAACUUCAGGAAACUGGGGCUAAUACCGGAUAGGAGCUCCUGCUGCAUGGUGGGGGUUGGAAAGUUUCGGCGGUUGGGGAUGGACUCGCGGCUUAUCCGCUUGUUGGUGGGGUAGUGGCUUACCAAGGCUUUGACGGGUAGCCGGCCUGAGAGGGUGACCGGCCACAUUGGGACUGAGAUACGGCCCAGACUCCUACGGGAGGCAGCAGGGGGGAAUAUUGCACAAUGGGCGGAAGCCUGAUGCAGCAACGCCGCGUGCGGGAUGACGGCCUUCGGGUUGUAAACCGCUGUCGCCUGUGACGAAGCGUGAGUGACGGUAAUGGGUAAAGAAGCACCGGCUAACUACGUG
rnacentral:rRNA from 1 species